rnacentral:lncRNA from 1 species
CUAUCUCAAUUGGUACCAACUCAGAAGAAAACAAGUUUGAAACACCGACAUCCUCAAUAGGCACUACUAUAGAAGGGUCAACCAUACAUCUUUUUAGCAUAGAAACAUGGUGGGAUGAAUAGAAGCCAAACUUACUGGCACAUCCAAAUCAUACACAACAUUCCCAAUUCUCCUAACAACCUAAUACAAACCAAUGUAAUGGGUUCUUAACUUCCCCUUCUUCAAAAAUCUCAU